rnacentral:rRNA from 1 species
UACGUAGGGGGCAAGCGUUGUCCGGAUUUAUUGGGCGUAAAGAGCGUGUAGGCGGUCAGAUAGGUCCGUUGUGAAAACUCGAGGCUCAACCUCGAGACGCCGAUGGAAACCAUCUGACUAGAGUCCGGAAGAGGAGAGUGGAAUUCCUGGUGUAGCGGUGAAAUGCGCAGAUAUCAGGAAGAACACCCGUGGCUAAGGCGGCUCUCUAGGACGGUACUGACGCUGAGACGCGAAAGCGUGGGGAGCGAACAGG